CUUGACGAACUAUAAGAGGUCUAGCCUGCCCAGUGAUAAAUUUAACGGCCGCGGUAUCCUAACCGUGCGAAGGUAGCAUAAUCACUUGUUCUUUAAAUAGGGACUCGUAUCAACGGCAUCACGAGGGUUACACUGUCUCCUCCCUCCAAUCAGUGAAACUGAUCUCCCCGUGAAGAAGCGGGGAUGAACUAAUAAGACGAGAAGACCCCAUGGAGCUUUAAACCUCACAGCAACUCUAAUAUUUAACUCCUCAUAAUUUACAGGGCAGUGCACGUCGGUUUUAGGUUGGGGCGACCGCGGAGUAAAAAUUACCCUCCACAACGAAAAGAACUAAAUCUUUAUUCAAGAGCAACUACUCUAAAAAUUAGCAUACUAACGAACAAUGAUCCGAUUAUCGAUCAACGGACCA
rnacentral:rRNA from 1 species